CAUGACUGUGCACAAACUGUAAUGUUCUACCAAUUGAGAUGGAAACUGAAAUUGUCAAAAUUUAUAAAUACUGUGCAGUAGAUAUUCACAGAGUACAUAAGUAACCAAUGUACAAGACUUUUGUGCCAGAAGCUGGUAUUAAAUACAAAGAAACAUCUCAGAAUGCCUGUAUAUGACUCUGCUGCCUGUUAUCCUUUGGAUUUUGGAAAUGCCCAAGCCUUAGAAAACCCAUUAUGUAAAGCAACCCAAAUUUAGGUUGCAUUAUGUGCAAAAUCAGUUGGAAAACUCUAAUCAAAUUAUUCAAUGAGUCUCGUCUUUCGGCUUGGAGGAGGCAAAGGUGCAACUUUCUUCAGUCGUCCGGAAUCCGGGUUCAUCCGACACCGGCCACCUCCACCAUGCAGCCCAAGUUCGACCCCAACGAGAUCAAAGUCGUGUACUUGAGGUGCACCGGUGGCGAGGUCGGCGCCACAUCUGCCUUGGCCCCUAAGAUUGGUCCUUUGGGUCUGUCUCCAAAAAAGGUUGGUGAUGACAUUGCCAAAGCAACUGGUGAUUGGACGGGUCUGAGGAUUACAGUGAAACUGACCAUUCAGAACAGACAGGCCCAGAUUGAGGUUGUGCCUUCUGCCUCCGCCCUGAUCAUCAAAGCCCUCAAGGAGCCCCCAAGAGACAGGAAGAAACAGAAGAACAUUAAACACAGUGGAAACAUCACCUUUGAUGAAAUUGUCAACAUUGCCAGACAGAUGCGUCACCGAUCAUUAGCCAGAGAACUUUCUGGAACGAUUAAAGAGAUCCUGGGCACUGCACAGUCUGUGGGCUGCAAUGUCGAUGGCCGUCACCCUCAUGACAUCAUAGAUGACAUCAACAGUGGUGCAGUGGAAUGCCCAGCUAGUUAAGAAGUACAAAAGAAAAUGUUUUAAUAAAUCAUCUGGGCUUCU